rnacentral:misc_RNA from 1 species
UUUUCAUUUAUAUUUAUUUCUAAAUACGACUUUUCAAGAACCAAAGCCAUAACUUGAUAACAAGAUUUUCAUUAUUAAUUUUCCUUCAAGCAACCAGGAAAUUAAGCUACAACAUUGGAAGCUCGUAAGGCUUCCCUCAUACCAAAUGAACUGUCCAAAGAUAAAACUAUAAAGGAUUCCAGCACCUGAAAGUUAAAGUUGAAGGAACUGAUUUUACAACUCAACUGCUAUCAUCCACAACUUGAUUGUUUACAUAUAGAUUCUCCCUUCUUUUAGGGAAAACAGUAGAUUCCAGGGUUGGACCUCUAUAUUUUAGUUCAGAAGAUGUUCUGUAAUUAGGAUCAACAGAAGCAGGUCUAGUGUUGGUAUCAGUAGUGCCUGUACUAAAGGAGUUGGUUGCUGCUCCCCCCGGAUAUUGUGAAGGCGAAACAUAACUCCUUGAUGGACCUCUCAACCCACCAGCCCUUAAGUCCAUAAGUUCAUCUCUUCUUGAAGAAGAAUCGACAAAUGAUCUGUCCCCAGAGCUUGAUCCUAAUGGAGCACCAGUUGUGGCAGAUGUGGAAGUAAAAGGAUCAUCCGGUCCCCAUGAUGUAAGAGCUUCCUUCUUCUUAGCAAAGAAUUGCCAUGCUACAAAUAGAAAGAGUAUGAAGAACAACACAGGGCUUGUCCAUAGCAUUGUAUUGAAUUCUCCUUUAAAUACUGGAAGAUUAGAGCGAUACAUUCCCACAUACCCACUUCCAAGGCCAAGAACAACAAGUUUUUCAUGGUCACUGGCUAUUAAGGGUAUCAACCUCCUCCACCCGUUGAUUGCAUCCGCCACUUGAUAAUUUAGAAAUGAUGAUCUGAUCUCGUCCAAACCAGCAGAGAACAGAAGCCGAGGUCCACCAACCCUAACAUAGUGCUGAGUCGAGACAUUAUACACGAAAACCUUCUCUUCAUUGACAACAAGCAAAUACCCCUUAAUGGCUUGCAUUGCAAUGGGUUCAUCCAUGUCGAACUUUCUUUUAGAUCUAACCCUGCAUUUGAAGUUCAUUACAUCUCCUAACAAUAAUACAUGAAUCAAAUCACCCUCUGAUGUAAAUCCAUAUGCUUUUGACCGUUCAGUAGCAUCAAAUACAUAAUUCCGAACAAGAGUUUGAUUCAAUCCUUCACAUUCUGAUUCCCUGACUUUCAUGCUCCUUAAAUCCAAUGACCCUGCACCACUCUCUGUCAAGAACAAAAGCCUCUGCUUCAAGAAUGUAAGUGGUCUGCUUGUCGGCAUAGCAGAGCCAUGAACUGUCCCAUUUUCUCUAAAAACACGAAUCUUCCCACCAACACUCGAUGACAAGAUAUACCUUGAUCUCCCAACAUGAUGUACUUCCAAAAUAGUUAUAGCUAAGCCUUCCAAAUGAUCAUUGGGCAUAGACUUACCUACAUUUUCCAUAGAUAAUGAACCCCAUUCUUCUCCAUUCAGACCUUCACGAACUUUGUGCACCAAAACCACACCAUUCUCAUGUCCUGUCACGACAAUGCAUUCGUUCUUAUAAACUGACAAGUAUGAUAGCAUUGCAGUAACCGGCGAAUCGCAGAGUGUGUAAAAAUCAACCAAAACAUCCCCAUUCCUUGAGAACACAUAAACCCUGCCUUGAUCAUCCCCAACAGCCACAUACUUACUAAGACCCUCAAAAUCUCGAAAUGGCAAAACAUUAAUACAAGUUGCAUCCGAAUCUAAUUUCACCGCAGACACAAACUGAAACUUCUCUGACCAAAAUGGACUGUAUUUUGUAACAGAAACAGCUCUUGCUCUCUCCCCAUCUCGAGUUUUUUCCUCGAUACCCUCUUCUUGGACUUUAACAACCGAUCUUUUACCAUCAGAUUUUAUCUGAUUAAAUCUAUCUUGUUCUCGAUUCUGACUACCCUCUAAAGGUGCCACUACUUUAACCGACUCGGAUAAUUUUGUCUCUAAUCUAGCAACUACUUCACUGAGGUUCCUCACUAAUUCAUCAAGUUUGUGCAAUAAAACUUCCUGCUGGUAGGAUUGAGUUGUAGUUUCAGUCUCAGAUUCAUGAUAAGGAGAGUGGUGUUCGUCAUGAUCAAGUUGGGUAGGGGCUGAGCUAGAGUAGUUCAGCAAAAUUGAAGCCAAAAUGAAAAGCAAAUAGAGAAAAGAGAGCAACUUGCCUUGGUGGGUGUUUGCCAUUGGAGAAGCAUGGGUCAGUGUGUUGUUGUUGCCAUAUAAAUUGUACUGGCAAGCGUGAAGUUGCAGAUCUUUGGGUUUGGAUCCAAAGAUUGGAGAGAAUUUAGCCGGAAUCUAUGUUAGAUUUGAUGAAUCUCAGAGUAGAGAAUAUAGGGAUUUUGGAUCAGAAGAAAGAAGAAGCGCCUUCUUUUUCUAUUUUUGAGGUUCUUGACAUGGGCGCGUACGGUGAAUAUAUGUUAGGGCAAGAAACUCGGUUUUUCAACCAAAAC